UUUUCCUCCUUGAGCCCUAUUCCCUCUUCCUUUAUUCCCUUUUCACUCAACAUUUCUUGGCAACAGAUCUCGCGACAGGUCUCGUCACUGCACCCACUACUGAUUGUUCUCAGCCAUGGUCUCCUUUCCAUUGUCAACAUCAUGGCUUGCGUUCUCACUAGCGAUUCGCUCCAAAAUGUUCCCUCAGUUAGGGAAACACAAGGUUUAUCUCUCCUUGUCACUCCUCUCUAUUUGCUAUUAUGAUAAAAGGAAUUAAGCAGAUAAAUUUUUUACAGCUACUUCUAAUUCAUCUUAUAUUUAUCAUCUUCUACUGUGAGAUUUUAGUUUUGGAGGUUUUCUUAUGUAGAUUUUGGAUUUAGAUUUCAUAUACUAGAUUUGUAAUUUUUAUUCACUAUGAACAUGGAGCUGGUAGCUCGAACCACAACUACCAGUUUCUUGAAUCUUCAAAACCAAAGGAUGCACACAAACAGAGUUUCUUUGGUUCAAAUCAUUAUGCUGAGUAUUAUAUUAAUUAAUUCAGAUAAAUGUCGUUUAGUGCGCUUUCUAGUAGGAUGCUUAUCUUAGGGGAAAUUAUUGCUGAAUGGAUUAUGAUGGGAGGGAUUAAUUAGGACCAUAUUCUUAAACCAAUGUGUAGCGCUCUCAAAAAGCUCCCACUUUAUCAUCAUUUAUAUGUUGUGAGUUGGUUUUUGUAGUGGUGAUUCAUAGACGCGACGUGAAGAUUGAUUUGUCCAUUUCUUGAAUGUAAUUUCCACUUCAAGGUUCUUAGUUUGAAAUAGAUUUCUACUAUGAAUUUUUGAAUUGAAACAGAAUCCAAAGUCUUUAAUAAGCACCAUAAACAUAAGCUAAUAAUUGUGUGCUAAUGUGAUCCUACCACAUAAAAUUCUAUGGCUAUGAAUUGUCUAAUUGUUUGCUUGUCACUCAUUUCUUCUUUGAUCAAUUUGCUACUACAUAACCAUUGUCCAUUGAAGCUAUAACUUUCCCCCCUUCUUCCAAGGUUUGUUUGAUAGCUGUCAAAAAGUUUGACAAUCACAAUAUGUUUGCAGAAUGUUUGGAGAAAUCAACAGCCAUCUAAUGUGCAAUUUCAGCAAAUAGCUUAGCUUUAAGGCAUUUCGUGAAUGUUAAGUUUGUUACAUUAACAGUUAUUGAAGAUUGGUAUUUGCAGUUAUGGCAAAUUGCUUGGAUGAUUAAAAAGUGGAGAUUGAGGAAGAGAAGCAAAUGGCAUGUGGUAAAUUAGAUUGUUUUAAUUAAUGUAUAUAGAGAGAGUGCAGCACAAUGAAAUAAGAUUAUUGAUUGUAGGAGAUUUUUUUAGUUGAUUUGUAGAAUGUGCGUACUUGCAAAUUUUUCUAUCUCCAAUUUGUUUAGUGCAAGCACACCAUGCCAUGUGGUAUGCAGAAUUUUCAUUUGCACCACCUGAAUAGUAAGAAUUGACAUUCACGUCUUCAUUAAUGAAUAUUACUUUACAUUAGACAAAUUAUGCUAUUCUUAUUUGUCUUGUCAUCCUCUCAUACUUUGGUUUCUCUUCUGGUAAUUUUUGCUAAGAAGGUUGUAGUUUGUUCUUUGUUCUUUUAGCAGUUUUCAUUUGUGGCUUUUCUCACCAAGUAAAACAACCUAUUAACCAAUUUCAAUUUGUUGCUUCCAGGUGUUGUGCGUGAUGUUAGCAUUUUGUUCUCAUCCCUUUGGCAUUUUUAGUUUGCUUUUAUACCAUGUUUUGUUGUUUUAUGCUGCAUUGUAUUGCUUCGUCUAUUAAUAAAGCAAGUAUGUAUUUAGGUAAAAACAAAAUAGAGAAAGAAAUUGAAGAAAUGAUAGUUAAGUUUAGAAAAAGACCAAUUUUAAUCCAGUACAAUAGAACUUAUUUUUCAAGUAUUUCACUCAACUUAUUGUUAUACUUUAUUUCUGAUGUAUCUAAUUUAGCUCUUUCAGGUAGUUUGAGGCAGCAUAAGCCGGAUUUUUUUGGACAUCACAUUCACCACUUUUAUAUUGAAUAUUGCAAUGGAGCUUGGACUAUAAUGCUUGAUCAAGAACCAAGUUUUAGGAAUUUUUAUUAUUAGAAUUUUGUUUUAGAAUUCAAAAAAUUUAUGAGGAUGUUUUUCUGUAUAGGGAGUUCUCAAGUGAUUGAUUUCUUUCAAAUUGUAUGAUGUUUGUGUAUAAUAUAUUGGAUUUUAAAUUCUAUAAAUAAAAUUUUUUUAUUUAAUAUCA